rnacentral:rRNA from 1 species
UACGAGUGCCCCGAGCGUUAUCCGGAAUCAUUGGGCGUAAAGGGUGUGUAGGUGGCAGUGUUAGUCUAUCGUUAAAUCCCGGAGCUUAACUCCGGACCUGCGAUAGAUACGGCACAGCUAGAGGAUGCGAGGGAUGUAUGGAACUCAUGGAGUAGGGGUGAAAUGCGUAGAUAUCGAGAGGAACACCAGUGGCGAAGGCGAGUCCCUGGACGAUACCUGACACUGAGGCACGAAAGCGUGGGGAGCAAACAGG